rnacentral:rRNA from 1 species
AAGGUGCCUUCUUCGGAAGGUGUCACCCAGGGGAUGGGUUUGCGUUCUAUACAGCUUAGUUGGCNUUUGGGGUAACGGCUCACCAAGGCAAUGACGGAUAGCUGGUCUGAGAGAGAUGGUCAGCCACACUGGUGACUGAGACACUGCCCAGACUCCUACGUGGAAGGCUAGCAGUCGAGAAUCAUUCGCAAUGCGCGCAAGCGUGACGAUGCGACGCCGCGUGGAGGAUGACGGCCUUCGGGUUGUAAACUCCUGUCAUGAGGGAACAAAGCUUGCGGGUUAAUACCCCGGNGAGUGUGAUGGUACCUCAAGAGGAAGUCACGGCUAACUCUGUGCCAGCAGCCGCGGUAAUACAGAGGUGGCAAGCGUUGUCCGGAUUUACUGGGCGUAAAGGGUGCGUAGGCGGUACGGUAUGUCGGAUGUGAAAUCUCGCAGCACAACUGUGAAACGUCAUUCGAAACUGCCGAACUAGAAGUACUGGAGAGGAGAGCGGAAUUCUUGGAGUAGCGGUGAAAUGCGUAGAUAUCAAGAAGAACACCGUUGGCGAAGGCGGCUCUCUGGACAGUUACUGACGCUGAGGUACGAAAGCCAGGGGAGCGAAGAGGAUUAGAUACCCUCGUAGUCCUGGCAGUAAACGAUGUGCACUUGGUGUGGGGAGGAGUUAUCCCCUUUCCGUACCGGAGUUUACGCGUUAAGUGCACCGCCUGGGGAGUACGGCCGCAAGGCUAAAACUCAAAGGAAUUGACGGGGGCCCGCACAAGCGGUGGAGCAUGUGGCUUAAUUCGAUGCAACGCGAAGAACCUUACCUGGGUUUGACAUGCCCGUCGUAUUCUCCUGAAAGGGAGAAGUCAGUUCGGCUGGACGGUGCACAGGUGCUGCAUGGCUGUCGUCAGCUCGUGCCGUGAGGUGUUGGGUUAAGUCCCGCAACGAGCGCAACCCUUGUGUUUAGUUGCCACUCCCGAUUCUGUCGGGAAGCACUCUAGACAGACUGCCCGUGACAAGCGGGAGGAAGGAGGGCGAUGACGUCAAGUCAGUAUGGUCCUUAUACCCAGGGCUGCACACGUGCUACAAUGGCCGGUACAGAGGGCGGCGACGCCGCGAGGCGAAGCAAAUCCCCAAAACCGGUCUUAGUUCGGAUCGCAGUCUGCAAUUCGACUGCGUGAAGUUGGAAUCGCUAGUA